rnacentral:rRNA from 1 species
AACCAGACUCCUACGGGAGGCAGCAGUGGGGAAUAUUGCACAAUGGGGGGAACCCUGAUGCAGCGACGCCGCGUGAGUGAAGAAGUAUUUCGGUAUGUAAAGCUCUGUCAGCAGGGAAGAAGAAAGACGGUACCUGACCAAGAAGCCCCGGCUAACUACGUGCCAGCAGCCGCGGUAAUACGUAGGGGGCAAGCGUUAUCCGGAUUUACUGGGUGUAAAGGGAGCGCAGACGGCAGUGCAAGUCUGGAGUGAAAGCCCGGGGCCCAACCCCGGGACUGCUCUGGAAACUGUACGGCUAGAGUACGGGAGGGGCAGGCGGAAUUCCUAGUGUGGCGGUGAAAUGCGUAGAUAUUAGGAGGAACACCGGCGGCGAAGGCGGCCUGCUGGACCGAAACUGACGUUGAGGCUCGAAAGCGUGGGGAGCAAACAGGAUUAGAUACCCUAGUA